rnacentral:tRNA from 1 species
GGGGUUGUGGCUCAGUGGUAGAGUACUUGCUUAGCACGUGCAAGACCCUGAGUUUGAUUCUCAGCACCA